rnacentral:lncRNA from 1 species
ACUUUCAGCACCUUCUCUUUCACAUCUGCACACUUUAGCUCCUGUGCCCCUCUCCAUUCAAGACCUCCUGCCCCAUCUCCUGAACCCUUGCCCCAGUUGUAAGCCCUGCAAGUCACCUCCCCUCUCAAGCCUUCUUGGCUGUCCCAGACAAUUUGUGCGCAGCCUCCUCCCUGCUCCCUUCCCUGCAUUCUUUGCAUUGCCCACUGGGGUCACUGGCCCACAGCUAUCUCUCUGCAGGACUCUCAUUCCUGGGCCAGUGCCUGGCUCACCCCUGUUUGUGAAGAGAGUGUCUGCGACUGGUGGCUGCAGGAGUCUGCAGAAGCUCCUUGGUUGUUUGGCAGGACAGAUGUUGGAAGGUUAAGGCUGGAGGACGGCUGGAGGGCAGGCAGGGGAGGCAAAGAGACACAUUGAUGGCUCACCUUCUGCUAACUCCUCUGGGCAGCUCAAAGCUUCACACUUUGUGACCUGGCUGCUAAUCAGGAAACUGAGGUUCAGUGAAUUGCUGAAGGCUACUCAGCUCUGAGUGUCUGAGCCAGUACUUGAAUGGCAUUCCAGGAAAGGAAUGGGCUGUUUUUCAAAGCGCAUCAUCAGUUGCUGGACCCAGGAUUCUGACUCUCAGGGGGGUACAGCGCAUGCUGUGUAGAAAGCUGAUUACAAAAAAUCCUCUCCCGCGUUGGGCUGGGCUCCAGAGACGUGGUUAGAAUUUCUCCAUACCCGGCGCAAGGCAUGAUCGUGCCGAUUUCUCUUUUCCCGGUCUCUCCAUGCAUUUUUGGUCUUGGCAUUUGCAUUUUCCUGAUGUUAAGCCCAAGGAGGCACACAGCAGGGGCUCAGAAAUGGCAGCUGAUGGAGGGAUGGACGCGCUGGAGGCAGAGGUCAGAAAUAUGCUGAGGACUUUUUAUUGGGCCAUCCGAAUCCACUCUUCACCCUUCCCCAUCCUAGUCUACUGAUCGUUGUCGCGGAGUUCCCUUGACCUCUCGCUCCUGUUGGGAUCAGAGGAUGGCCAGGGUCUGGGGUCAGGGGCGUCCUGAUCCCCCUGUCAAGGUCGCUGCAGGCUGGGCACCUCCCUUUAUUGCAGUCGUCAGCUCUUCCGCACUGCUCUCCCCACUUCCUCUUCCAAGUCCAGGUCGGUCACGG